GAUGAACGCUGGCAGAAUGCUUAACACAUGCAAGUCGUUGGCGAAGCUGCGCUUGCGCAGUCUAGCCAAGGCGGACGGGUGAGUAACGCGUAAGGAACUUGCCCUGCAGACAGGGAUAACAGACGGAAACGACUGAUAACACCUGGUAUUGUCAGGCUGGCGCAUGCCGGCCUGAUGAAAGGAGACGCUGCAGGAGAGCCUUGCGUCCUAUUAGCUAGUUGGUGGGGUAACGGCCCACCAAGGCGAUGAUAGGUAGCCGGCCUGAGAGGGUGAACGGCCACAAGGGGACUGAGAUACGGCGCUUACGCCUACGGGAGGCAGCAGUGGGGAAUAUUGGACAAUGGGGGCAACGCUGAUCCAGCAAUUCUGUGUGCACGAAGAAGGUUUUCGGAUUGUAAAGUGCUUUCAGCAGGGAAGAAGAAAGUGACGGUACCUGAAGAAGAAGCGACGGCUAAAUACGUG
rnacentral:rRNA from 1 species